rnacentral:rRNA from 1 species
GUGACCUCGGAUCAGUAGUGAUGCCCGAGUU